rnacentral:rRNA from 1 species
GCUACGGGUGGCAGCAGUGAGGAAUAUUGCACAAUGGGCGAAAGCCUGAUGCAGCAACGCCGCGUGAGCGAUGAAGGCCUUCGGGUCGUACAGCUCUGUCCUCAAGGACGAUAAUGACGGUACUUGAGGACGAAGCCCCGGCUAACUACGUUCCAGCAGCCGCGGUAAUACGUAGGGGGCUAGCGUUAUCCGUAAUUACUGGGCGAAAAGGGUGCGUAGGGGGUUUCUAAAGUCAGAGGUGAAAGGCUACGGCUAAACCGUAGUAAGCCUUUGAAACUGGGGAACUUGAGUGCAGGAGAGGAGAGUGGAACUCCUAGUGUAGCGGUGAAAUGCGUAGAUAUUAGGAGGAACACCAGUGGCGAAGGCGGCUCUCUGGACUGUAACUGACACUGAGGCACGAAAGCGUGGGGAGCAAACAGGAUUAGAUACCCGAGUAGUC